UCUCCGUUGGUGAACCAGCGGAGGGAUCAUUACCGAGUUCCGCAACUCCCGAACCCGCCGCGAACCCUACCCGCAACGUUGCCUCGGCGGCCGGCGCCGCCCGCGCGCGCCGCCGCCGGAGGGCCCCAACCCUGCCGUGUCUGUCAGUGGCAUCCCUCUGAGUGUCGCAAACGCACAAUCGAGUCAAAACUUUCAACAACGGAUCUCUUGGUUCUG
rnacentral:misc_RNA from 1 species